rnacentral:rRNA from 1 species
UACGUAGGGUGCGAGCGUUAAUCGGAAUUACUGGGUGUAAAGCGUGCGCAGGCGGUUUUGCAAGCCGGAUGUGAAAUCCCCGGGCUCAACCUGGGAAUGGCAUUCGGGACUGCAAGGCUGGAGUGCGGCAGAGGAGACUGGAAUUCCUGGUGUAGCAGUGAAAUGCGUAGAUAUCAGGAGGAACACCGGUGGCGAAGGCGGUUCUCUGGGCAUGUCCUGACGCUGAGGAGCGAAAGUGUGGGGAGCGAACAGG